GACGAACGCUGGCGGCGUGCUUAACACAUGCAAGUCGAGCGGUAAGGCCCUUUCGGGGGUACACGAGCGGCGAACGGGUGAGUAACACGUGGGUGACCUGCCCUCAGCUCUGGGGAUAAGCCUGGGAAACCGGGUCUAAUACUGGAUAUGACUCCAUGACGCAUGUUGUGGGGUGGAAAGCCUUGUGCGGCUGAGGAUGGGCCCGCGGCCUAUCAGCUUGUUGGUGGGGUGANGGCCUACCAAGGCGACGACGGGUAGCCGGCCUGAGAGGGCGACCGGCCGACACUGGGACUGAGACACGGCCCAGACUCCUACGGGAGGCAGCAGUGGGGAAUCUUGCGCAAUGGGCGAAAGCCUGACGCAGCGACGCCGCGUGAGGGAUGACGGCCU
rnacentral:rRNA from 1 species